CUUUAAAUCUCUACUACGAGCGGUCCGCGUCGGAUUCCCACUGUAAGCCUUCACCCGAGCUUCCAUUGUGGACAAAUUUCUUCCGAAUUUCUAUUGCAGGUAGGCUUCGGCCGAGAUUCCUCGACAAAUGAUCUCCAUUCCGGCUUCUACGGAGAUCAGACUCCGACCGAACUUCUGUAGCGGAUAGAUUCCGGGCGAACUCCUACGACACAUGGAAUCCAGCAGCUGGACCCCUC
rnacentral:lncRNA from 1 species